rnacentral:misc_RNA from 1 species
GGGAAAGAGAACGAGUCAUUUUGAUCAAUCCUUUGAGUCGUACUAUAAUUGUUCAGGGUUCAUAUGAUUCAAGCAAUGGUCAAAACCAGAAUCACACUCCCAUUGGGUCAUUAGGUGAUUAUUUCAUAGGACCUGGUUUAGAUUUGUUGUUACAGCAUUUGGCAGAGAAUGAUCCAAAUAGAUAUGGUACUCCACCAGCUCAAAAGGAGGCAGUUGAGGCAUUGCCUACUGUAACAAUGAAUGAAACUUUGCAGUGUUCAGUUUGUUUGGAUGAUUUUGAGAUUGGCACUGAGGCAAAGGAAAUGCCUUGUAAGCAUAAGUUUCAUAGCUCUUGUCUAUUACCAUGGCUGGAACUUCAUAGUUCU